rnacentral:misc_RNA from 1 species
GGAAUAUAAAGUGCAAAUUUGAAAAUAGGAUUAAAAAAAAUAUAUUUUCCAGUUUUUCAGCGUUCAACUUGAAAAAAUGAAAAUGAGAAAAUAAGGAAAUAUUAAAACUGAAAAAUUUAAACAUAAAAUGUUUUCUGUAAUUAAACAAGACCUUAAAUUUCUUCCUUCUCUUUAAUGGAAGCAUAAGGCAAACAAUAUGUAUAGAAUCUUACCUUGAAUUCCUUGUUUUCUUUGU